rnacentral:rRNA from 1 species
GGAACACCUCAGCGUAAUGGUGUGUCCGAACGUCGUAAUCGCACUCUAUUGGAUAUGGUGCGAUCUAUGAUGUCUCUUACCGAUUUACCGCUGUCAUUUUGGGGCUAUGCUUUAGAGACUGCCGCAUUCACUUUAAAUAGGGCUCCGUCGAAAUCCGUUGAGAUGACACCGUAUGAAUUAUGGUUUGGGAAGAAACCUAAGUUAUCGUUUCUAAAAGUUUGGGGAUGCGAUGCUUAUGUCAAGAAACUUCAACCUGAAAAGCUCGAACCCAAGUCGGAAAAAUGCUUCUUCAUAGGAUACCCUAAAGAAACUGUUGGGUAUACCUUCUACCUC